rnacentral:lncRNA from 1 species
AUACAGGUGAGAUGUAAGGGUACAUCUGCACUGAACGUGACCGACUCUGGAGCUAUUUCUGCUGUCAAAAUUUACUCCGAUGGGAUAUGGGUAUAACUGUCUCUCUAACCUGAGACUGUCACGGUGACUUGCAAGCAACUCACUGCACUUAGGCACUGGACUACCUGAAUUUCUAAUUCAGUGAUGGAAGGCUGCUGGGUGUAGUCAAGUACUUGACUUAUCGAUACAUGCAUCAAGAUGGGAUUGACCACUCCAGUUCAGGAGCUAUGUACAGUCAUAUCUCAAUUUUAGCAAAAUCUUGGUCAGGGUAGUCCUAUUGAGGAGUCACAGGACUAUUUGAGUUGAGCACGAUUCAGAUGAUAGAAUCAGGGUUGACAGUUUAACCC